rnacentral:lncRNA from 1 species
UUCUUCUCUCUCUCUCUCUCUCUCUCUCUCUCUCUAUAACAAUGAUCUACCUCAGCCGUCGCCGUCAACCUUCAAAUCGCCAUCCUUGACCUAAAAUACCCUUGAACUAGAAAGUGUUGUGAAGAAUUUGAGCAAAGCUAGGGUUUUUUUGAAAGUUCGAAUCCAAAAAUUAGGGCUUUUUUGUAGGGGGUAUUUCAUUGUUUUUAAUGUUGAGUUCGAAGAGAAUGAUUUUGCCGCCGUUACCGCCUAAGCAGUAUGGAGUGACGAAGCCAAUAUCAAUUGCAGGAUCGAUGGAGGGUGAUAUGCAAAGAACCCAUGAG